AGCCUUUUGUAUGCCUGUUGAGAUUUCGUCAGCAGUCAGUCCAUUAGGGCUGAUGCAACUUCCAAAAUAAGUGAAGCG
rnacentral:pre_miRNA from 1 species